rnacentral:rRNA from 1 species
CUUGGUCAUUUAGAGGAAGUAAAAGUCAUAACAAGGUUUCCGUAGGUGAACCUGCGGAAGGAUCAUUAAUAGUGCCCUCUGAUGCAAAUCAUUGGGUUAGAUCUGCUCUCUUCGCAAGAAGAGGGUUUCCAUACACACCGUGAACUGUGGCUUCGGCCAUCACAAACUGUUAGUAAUGAAUGUAAUAUCAUAACAAAAACAAAACCUUUUAACAACGGAUCUCUUGGCUCUCGCAUCGAUGAAGAACGCAGCGAAAUGCGAUAAGUAAUGUGAAUUGCAGAAUUCAGUGAAUCAUCGAAUCUUUGAACGCACCUUGCGCCCUUUGGUAUUCCGAAGGGCAUGCCUGUUUGAGUGUCAUGAAACCUCACCCCCACUUGGGUUUUUGCCUGAGCGGUGGUGUAUUGGGUGUUGCCUUGCUAAAGGCUCGCCUUAAAGACAUAAGCACCUUGGAUGUAAUACGUUUCAUCCUUCUGGGUGGCUGAUAACCCCACAUAUUCAUGAUCUGGCCUCAAAUCAGGUAGGGCUACCCGCUGAACUUAAGCAUAUCAAUAAGCGGAGGAAAAGAAACUAACUAGGAUUCCCUUAGUAACGGCGAGUGAACCGGGAUGAGCUCAAAUUUAAAAUCUGGCGUCUUUCAGGCGUCCGAGUUGUAAUCUAUAGAGGCGUUUUCCGCGCCGGACCGCGUCCAAGUCUCUUGGAAUAGAGUAUCAAAGAGGGUGACAAUCCCGUACUUGACGCGACAACCGGUGCUCUGUGAUACGUUCUCAAUGAGUCGAGUUGUUUGGGAAUGCAGCUCUAAAUGGGUGGUAAAUUCCAUCUAAGGCUAAAUAUUGGCGAGAGACCGAUAGCGAACAAGUACCGUGAGGGAAAGAUGAAAAGCACUUUGGAAAGAGAGUUAAACAGCACGUGAAAUUGUUAAAAGGGAAACGAUUGAAGUCAGUCGUGUGAAAGGUAUUCAGCCGUCUCUGGGCGGUGUAUUUGCCUUUCACGGGUCAACAUCAGUUUGAUCCGGUAGAAAAAGGCGGGGAGGAAGGUGGCACCCUCGGGUGUGUUAUAGCCUCCUGUCAUAUGUGCCGGACCAGACUGAGGAACGCAGCUUGCCGCAAGGCCGGGGUUCGCCCACGUACAAGCUUAGGAUGUUGACAUAAUGGCUUUAAACGACC